ensembl:miRNA
UUGGCCAAAAAGUUCAUUCGGAUUUUUUCCAUACCAUCUUAUGGAAAAGCCCGGAUGGACUUUUUGGCCAA